GACGAACGCUGGCGGCGUGCCUAAUACAUGCAAGUCGUACGAAUUGAUUGAAGAGCUUGCUCUUCAUGACGUUAGUGGCGAACGGGUGAGUAACACGUGGGUAACCUGCCCUUCAGUGGGGGAUAACAUCCGGAAACGGGUGCUAAUACCGCAUAGUUUCUUUUUCCGCCUGGAAGAAGAAGGAAAGAUGGCCUUUGCGCUAUCACUGAGGGAUGGACCCGCGGCGUAUUAGUUAGUUGGUGGGGUAAUGGCCUACCAAGACGAUGAUACGUAGCCGACCUGAGAGGGUGAUCGGCCACAUUGGGACUGAGACACGGCCCAA
rnacentral:rRNA from 1 species